rnacentral:rRNA from 1 species
GACGAACGCUGGCGGCGUGCCUAAUACAUGCAAGUCGAACGAACUCUGGUAUUGAUUGGUGCUUGCAUCAUGAUUUACAUUUGAGUGAGUGGCGAACUGGUGAGUAACACGUGGGAAACCUGCCCAGAAGCGGGGGAUAACACCUGGAAACAGAUGCUAAUACCGCAUAACAACUUGGACCGCAGUCGGUCCGUAGUUUAGGAAAGAGUGGUCGUUCGGCUGUCUUACG